UUACUCAUGUGGGAUCAUGGUCUGGGUGU
rnacentral:piRNA from 1 species